AGCUCGUCUGAAUCUGAGCACGCAGGUCAGAAACAGCCAACUUUCCAGGGCCGUGAAAGUGCAGCAGCUCUCAGAGUAUCCCAGAGCCACAGAGAUCCUGACUGCAGUCACAGAAGAUCUGCACUCCUUUCUAUUGGUUCAAGUGUCACUCAAGGAUUCAGGAUGGUCAGUGGGGUGUAGCCCACCAGCACCACCACUGCUGCUGAAGCACCCGUGAGCCAAUGAAUACUGACGUGUACUCGCUUACGUUUGACCCUGGCGUCCAGCUCCUUCUCCAUGAGUUCUUUGGAUGUGGAGAACUCACUCAGAGUGAUUUUGGGCGUGCCGUCUCCUGGGCCCACUGAGCCGAUCAUCUCCUGCUCCUUCUCCUGGUUAACCUCAGCAUAUAUGUUGAUCCAAGGCCUCGUGCACUGGAAUCUCACAAGUAUGAGUGACACCUCCACAGGGAUCUAUCCACGGAAAACACCAAACACGGCUAUAACAGAGUGGUCCAGACAGGGCUCAUCUGCUGCCAUCAAUAAUGGAGAGCAGGGUCAUCGCUGUAUGCUGGGGUAAUCAGAGAGGGAUGCACCUUUUGAAUUUGUAGAUGAGAAACACCGCGAGGCCGAGAAACACCACCGACAGGAGCAUGAGCAUAGCUGAGCUGCUGUGCCGGGGGCUCGAGUCCACCAAGGGUGCUGUGGGAGCAGGGGAGAGGACAGAGAGGGUGUAAGAAGUUAACCAGAUGUGACUAAAUGUUGAUGAUGAAGAUGU